AAAGUCCAAAGUUUCUUAAAUUAUUCAAAGUCUCUCUAAAAAUCAAGUCUCAGAUAUUCCAAAGUCUCUUAUCUAUGGGCUUAUCUAUGGGCUCCACUUAGUUAUGGAUCCUGUAACAGGACGUACAAUGACGUACACAAUACCUAACAGUGACACACGGGGAUAAACGAUGGAGCAUGUGGCACUCAGCAUGCCAAGCAAAGACAGAGAAAUAUUUCUGUUCUUUCAGAGACUGAUUCGGUCAUGUACCGGGGUACUUUCCCCACCCCUAAGGUGGGUAUAUUAUUUUUCUCAUGGCUCUAACAAAAUAAUUGACAAAGGCUGUUGAAGGAGGGAAGGGUUUAUUUCAGGUUCCAGGUGGAGAGGACAGAGUCCAUCGUGACAGGGAAGUCGUGGCCGUGGGGACGUGCAGCACCUGGUCACACUUCAUCUGUUGUCAGGAAGCAGAGAGAGAGAGAGACAGAUGCUGAUGCUCAGCUCAGUUUCUUACUCAGUCUAGAAUCCCAGCCCACUGGGUGGUGCCAUCCACAUUUAGAGUGGAUUUUCCACGUUAGUUAAUCCAGUCUACCAAUCUAGAAACUCCCUCACAGGCAAGCUCAGAGACCUGUCUCCCAAAUGAUGCUAGAUCUUGUCAAGUUGACAGUCGGUAUUAAUGAUCACAGUGUGUGUGUUUAAAAUUGACUCUCAGGCUGGAGAGCUGGCUCAGAGGUUAAGAGCCCUGACUGUUCUUCCAGAGGUCCUGAGUUCAAUUCCCAGCAACCACAAGGUGGCUCACAACCACCUGUAAUGAGAUCUGGUGCCCUCUUCUGGCCUGCAGGGAUACGUGCAGGCAGAACACUGUAUACAUAAUAAAUAAAUACAUCUUGAAAAAGAUAAAAUAAAAUUGACUCUCACAGUACAUUUAAUUUGCUGUAGAAACAGCUACCUUGGGUUGAGUCUUUCCUGUCAGGCAAGGUGUCAAACACUUGUAUGUUAUUUCAGUCAUAUUUUCCAUAAUCUUGUCAAGCAGAUGGUAUACCUUCAUUUCACAGAUGAAAAAGCAAGGCCCAGAAAGCCAAGUAAGCAGCUGCCCAAUGUGAUGAAUUGAGACAGGAUUUGAACACAGGCCUUCUGGGUCCCAAGUCUAUACUUAGAAACAUCAGUCUUGAUGAAUUUAAAAAAUAUAUAUGAUCAUAAUCAUGUUUACUGACUUUCAGUUGCAAUAACACAGUCACUAAGAUUCCUCCCUCCAAUUUGAAAGCAAUGAGAAUUAUUAGAAAAUGAAGUACAAAUAGGUAGAUUUCAUCUAGGUUGGGUUUUUUUUUGUUUUUUUUUUUUUGGUUGGGUGGUUUUUUUUUGGUUGUUGUUUUGCUGUAUAUCUUGUUUUUGUUUUGUCAAGUUAAAACACACUAGAGUUACCUCGGAAGAGGAACCUCAAUUGAAAAAAAGCCUCCAUCAGACUGGCCUGCAGGCAAGUCAGUCUGGCAUUUUCUUGACUAAAAAUUGAUGUGGGAAAGCCCAGACCACUGUGGGUGUGGCUACGGAGCGGAUAGUCCUGGGUUGUACAAGCCACUACCAAUCUAAUUACACCUUUCCUCUCUCAGUCUGUACUGUGUAGUUUUGGGUAGUUGCUGACACUAAUCAAAUAAUUCUUUAAUUUGUCUGCCAUCCACUAAUGCAGAAGAAAGGCUGGAGAAAAGAAAGAUGUCACAUAUGACUACAAGUUAAAAGCACAGUCGAGCUUUCAGGAGUCAGGGAGAACCGACCUCCCAACCUACCCAUUCACCCAUCUCUAGACAGUGCUCCAGGAGCAAAUUUCUGUGUAGCCACUCUGGCAGGACUGGGGACGAAACCAAUCAGUCAAAGAAUGUGCUGUUUUACAGGAUAUGCUUUAAACAAACAAACAAACAAACAAAAACUCAGCAAAACAAAACAAAAAAGUUCAGCUUUCACAAAAGGUUAAGACAGUUCAUAACACUGUAAGCCUAACUGCUUACUGUUGCGAAUGCUAUGUACAGCUUUACGUUGGAAAGUUCCUUACAGGUAUGAAGUCAUACAAACGUUAACUAAAUGCAUGGUAGCAGGAAGCCACCACCCAUAUGACACAGUACGCACAGAUAUGACAUUAUAACAAUAGCGAAUGUCAAGGGAUAGGAAGAGCCUAUGGGAGCACUUUUAUACUCUACAUUUUAAGGACACGUUUGUAACACGUACUGUAGAAAGGAACCUUUACACAUCCCUGGUCAUGGUUUGCUGUUCUGAGUUAACCCCUGGUCCAGGCAGCACCAGGAGAAACACUGGACUUGGCAGCCUGAAGAAUGGCCAAACCCAGUUCAAGAGAGGCUGCCAUGAGGAAGUGCAGACAUUAAGGAGGACCGCAGACACCAUAAACUUCAGGGACUAGGCAGACCUCCUGACCAGAGGGCCAAGACUAGAAUGGUAGACUGCCUCUGUUUCCCCCCUCGCCAUAUCAGCCGCUGGCUGCAGCUGACUUAGCAGAGGGUGUUCAAAGGUAUGAACACCGCCUCCCUCUCAGGUCACUGGCUCUCUGCAUAAACUACAACUCAAAGGUUCAGUUUCCAAGGAUAGAGAGGUAAGAGAUAGAAAGGGGUUGGGGCAGACAGACAGACAGACAUAGUGAGAGAGAGAGAGACAUUGAUUUCAUAAAUGCAGUCUUUAUUAUCAGGGAAUUGACUUACAAAACUGUGCUAACACCCUUAAUUUACUGAACACCUACUAUGUGUCUGACAGGAAGACACCUUCACAGAGUUUUGAUUCCUGCCCUGAGGAAGAUCAGUGGGUAAUCUCUCACACACAGAACAAACAUCACUGACACUACAUAAACCCAGGCAAGCACCUGGCUAGCACUUGGCUAGAGGCUCUCUACCCAAGCCACCUGUCCUAACCAUAUCCUGCUGACCACCCUGAGUCAAAGCUUCCUGGGCCCAGGAAACACUCAGAAUCCCCUAAGGAAGGAACCAGCACCAACAGUACCCCCACCUACAUGCCCUUCUUCACUGAGAAGGCAAGCCCACAGCACAGGCUGGUGGACACACAACCAUGUUUGGUCAAUGAUUCCUUCAGCAAACACUCAUCACCCUGGGUAAGCAGCCAUAAAUCCCAGUUGCUACCUUACCAUUUCCUGUAAAGUGGGACAAGUCAUUUCCUGUACUGGUUGCCUCAAAGACCACAAGAGACAAGCCUUCCUCUCCUGGUAAAAUGGAACGCGCGCGCACACACGAACACACACGCACACACAGCUUCUUUGGAGUGUGUUCUGAAUUAGCCACGUAGUCUCUCGAAUCCGUGACCUUUCCCCCUAUAUUCUAAAACACUGGGAAUUACUCCACUCCUUUAUGAAGUCUCUUUGUAAACCACUCUGCAUCUGAGAGUUAGAGACAACAAUUUCUGCUUCCCCCCAAUAAAAACCCCUGACCUCCCAAGGUCUCUAGCUGGAUAACAAUGAACUGUACCAAAAAGGAGUUACGCUUGUACAAUCAAAACACCUGAACCUAAAGACCGUGUAAGACCACACACCAUGAAAGCGCAGGAGAAUAGGGGGCCCGCCAAAGAUGGGCAACGGCAGGCGGAAGGUAACCAGAGGGUCUUAGUGAAGCAGCAGUGGUCCCCUGUGGGGGCCACAGGGGCCAGGGAGAGCCCAUCCUCGGCAGAGCGCCCCCACCACCACCUCACCCGCCAUGGGUGGAGAAGGGGGGGCCAGGACUAAGCGGCUCUACGGAAGAUACCAUUAGGAUAGGGGACACUGGAGAAGGGAUGCGCUGGGUUGGGGAAGACACAACCAGGGUGUGGGCCUUUAGGGAACGCGGAAAGGACCCUGGGGGAAGGGAAGGGGCACGAGACUGGACCAGACAUAGGCAGGGAAGGAUAAGAUUAAGGAGGGGAAACUGGGGAAGUCCGCAGGGACCCAGGGAAGGGGGGGGGGGGACGCUAGGCUAGACAAAACAUUAGGAAAGACUACGCGAGGAAGACAGAUCAGGAUGGAGACAAGGAAGGGGAAAGGGGGAAGAGACAGAGACUUGGAGGUGGGGGGAAGGAGACAGGAGAUGGUGGGGAUACAAUCAAGAUUCUGGAGGUGCGGAGGCAGAGGCUGAGGUAAAGCAAUCAGGAUACGGACAGCGGAGGAAAGGCAGGAGCCGGCGGGGGGCGCGGAUUCAAUCAGAAAGGGCGACACUAAGGGAAGGGGGAGGGGCGUGGGUCAGAAUGGAGACACUCGAGAAAGGAAAGGGAGCAAGACCGGGGGAGGAACUUUGGGGAAGGGAGAAGGAACAGGCGCUGAGAGGGGUCACCGAAGAAGAGAGCAGCGAGGACUUGAGGCUGAGCAAGUGGGCGCGGCCAGCAAGAGCUUCGUAGAGAAGUGCGUGGCCGCCGGACUAGGGCAAGCUGAGCCUGGAACACCCCGGAGCCAGAAAUGAGGACAUGCGUGCUCAAAAGCUGAAAAAUGGAGAUGUCAAAACUGAAACAGCAACCAAGGACCAAAGCUGGGUGUCGUCGCAAGAAGUCACAUAGGAUUAUUAUAGCUUAAAAUAUAAAACAUAUAAAGAAAUGAAUGAGGAAGGAUUUGGGACUAUAAUCCCAGAACUAGGAGGCUGAGUCAAGAGGUUCAUGAGUUUGAGGCCAGCCUGAGCUACAUAGCCAUUGUCACAAAUGCAAGUAAACAAACAAAUUCAUUAGGAGGGCAUGGUGGUACACAACUGUAAUCGCAACACUUGGGAGCUCCAGGCCAGUCUGGGAAUUCUUGAGAUCGCAUCUCAAAAAACAACAACAACAAAAAAAAAACUAUCAUACUGUUUGAAUGAUAGUGCCUCGUGUGUCUCAUAUUGUUUCUAGGUUGUUUGUAUCUCAAACAAUGAAUUGGACAAGACAUAGAAGUAAUGAAGGUGUACAUUUAUUUUAAAAGAAAAAUGUGUAGAAUAUACUCCCCAGAAUGGGAACAGGCCUGAGCAAGCAUAAGACCCAAGACCUCCAUGUCCUUUUGGAGCAUCCUUUUUUAUGAGCUUGGGUAAAGGGAGGAGCAGAUUCCCUGGAUGAAAAUUAGGUAGACCCCCUACCGUGAUUGGCAGAUGGGCUUAAUGUUAAAUAGCUUUGGACCAUCUUUAAGUUGGUGGGUUGUAUAUCCUCUAACUUUAAGCAUGCGCAUAUGCCCCCCCCCCCUUGUGCUUAUACGUGAGACAGUAAACAUAAUCCUUUAAUAGUUUGGUUCAAGGAAACAUUUGCCCUCGCAGCUCUUACACCCCGAAACUGUUUUAAGAUGGACUUGUUUAUCUGCCCUUCUACUAUGAAAUGCCCGACCCCAAAUUACCUACAGAAGAGGAGAGGCUGGGUGCUGCCCCAAUGGGGACAGAGACAGAGGAAAGGUGCUUGCUGAUCAUCAGGCAGUCCCUGUGCUCACCUGAAUCAGUAGAAGUAUAGACGCUGUGCUGGCUAGUUUUUGUGACCUUGACACAAACUAGGGUCAUUUGGAAAGAGGAAACUCCAACUGAGGGAAAAAAACAAAACAAAAACAAAAAAACAAAAAAAAAGUUCUUAGUGACCGACCGACCUCGAAGAUCUGCCCAGUGGAAGACAGCAGACAGCGUGGACCUCUCCACCCUUUCCCCAAGCCUCUGAAUAAAGUGUUUUGACUCUAAAAAAAAAAAAAAAAAAAACCUCCAUCAGAGUGACGCAUGGAUAAGUCUGAAAGGACCAAGCAGAUGCCAUAACAGGCUGCUCAGUCUUCUCUCAGAGAUCAGGCCUCAAUUUCAGUUUCCUGAGACUUGAGCAAGCAGUUUCUGGGAGGGCCAUGAACAAAAGACUGCUCAAAGUUUAGCCAGAUGUUUACUUUCUGGGGCCCCUCACCAACUUAGAGUUAUGUGCAGUACGUGCUUGACCAGCCAGCCCCCAUGGUGGCUCAAGGACAAAGCCUGGGACUUGUGCUGGACUGCCCCCAAAGUAAUAAAUUGUAACCACCAACCAGUAAAUUCAAAGGUUACAUACCCUCACCCAAUUAAAAGAGAACAGAGAUAAAGAUAAACCAAUCCGAGUUACACCCGUGCAAAACUCCCCCAACCCCCCUGAAGGGCUUGUGGAUUUUGCCUUUAAAAAGCUAGCCACACAAAGAAAAAGCAAGUUCCUCCUGGCCUCACGACUACGAGUGAGUGCUUUGGAUCGAGCUUCCCUGUCCGCGGCUUGUAAACAGAAAUAAACCAUGCUAAUUGCAUUCUGAACCUAA